GAUGAACGCUGGCGGCGUGCCUAAUACAUGCAAGUCGAGCGAACGGACGAGAAGCUUGCUUCUCUGAUGUUAGCGGCGGACGGGUGAGUAACACGUGGAUAACCUACCUAUAAGACUGGGAUAACUUCGGGAAACCGGAGCUAAUACCGGAUAAUAUUUUGAACCGCAUGGUUCAAAAGUGAAAGACGGUCUUGCUGUCACUUAUAGAUGGAUCCGCGCUGCAUUAGCUAGUUGGUAAGGUAACGGCUUACCAAGGCAACGAUGCAUAGCCGACCUGAGAGGGUGAUCGGCCACACUGGAACUGAGACACGGUCCAGACUCCUACGGGAGGCAGCAGUAGGGAAUCUUCCGCAAUGGGCGGAAGCCUGACGGAGCAACGCCGCGUGAGUGAUGAAGGUCUUCGGAUCGUAAAACUCUGUUAUUAGGGAAGAACAUAUGUGUAAGUAACUGUGCACAUCUUGACGGUACCUAAUCAGAAAGCCACGGCUAACUACGUA
rnacentral:rRNA from 1 species